UUGACAUUUUAACCACUAUUUCCAAACAGCUUGACGAUUUGACGACGAGGGUAUGCGAUUUGGAAACUAAAAUCGAUAAGCAUUUAAAAGAAAAUAUUAUUCAUAAAAGUGAAGAAAUGGCGCAGCAAAAAACGGUUCGUGAAUGCAAGGUCCUCAUCCGCAAAAUUCAUCAAUCGGUAUGCCGAAUGACUGGUAAAGAUGUCGACAAGGUUCAAACCGAAAUUGCUUCCACCCUUUGGAAAUGGACGAAAAAUUGAAAGGCGACGAAUUUGCUGCUACAACGAAACAAUUCGUUUUGAGGAUAAAAGGUACUUCAGAUAGUGUACAUAAUGUGUUGUUAAGUCUGUACACUGAUGAACUUCUUUAUUUAUG